UCCCUGGUGGCUCAGACGGUAAAGCGUCUGCCUGCCAUGCAGGAGAUCUGGGUUCGAUCCCUGGGUUGGGAA
rnacentral:tRNA from 1 species